UUUUUUACUUUAAUUUUUUUUUUUUUUUUUUUUUUUUAAACAGUCAUGAGGUAAAAGGCUACUUAUAUGACAUUUCAGCCAUUUGGGAGGACUUGGUUGCUUGAUUGGCGCUGGUCUCUGAUAUGCAUAGCCGGCACACAGAGGUGAAUCCAUCCUGAGACGGCAUCGGAAGAUUGAAAUCAUAUCAGGUAAUGUCUUUCUGUGACUUUCAACCUUUUCCAGGGUUAAUGUGUUGUCAUCCAUCAUGAGUUACCUGGCCAUGUAGCCAUUUUACAUCAAUCAUUUCAUUCCCAGUUUUUUCACAAUAUUAUUUGGAAAAAAGCUACUCUUUUGUCCUUCAAAUAAAGAGCUGCCAUAAACAAUUACGCCAAAGUUAAAUAAAUGAAUUGUACGGAUUUCAUUUAGUUUAUUUAAAAAAAUAAUUCACCGUGUUCAGCCAUUUCUGUUCCCAAGAACAUGGUUGAAGAAAGAUGUGU